UUAUAGUUCAGUUGGUUAGAGCGUCAGAUUGUGGUUCUGAAUGUCGUGGGUUCGAAUCCCACUA
rnacentral:tRNA from 3 species